rnacentral:rRNA from 1 species
UACAGAGGGUGCAAGCGUUGUUCGGAAUUACUGGGCGUAAAGCGCGUGUAGGUGGCGAUGUAAGUCGGGUGUGAAAUCCCUCAGCUUAACUGAGGAAGUGCACUCGAUACUGUGUCGCUUGAGUGUUGGAGGGGAUGGCGGAAUUCCCGGUGUAGAGGUGAAAUUCGUAGAUAUCGGGAGGAACACCUGUGGCGAAGGCGGCCAUCUGGACAACUACUGACACUGAGACGCGAAAGCGUGGGUAGCAAAC